UUCCAAAUCAUGGUGCACAAGCUAUCGACC
rnacentral:piRNA from 1 species